AUUUCAAUAUGCUUAGUACGCUCACGAAACACUGGAUUUGAGGCGAUGUGGAGAGCGGCUUGAUUGUCACACCAUAGUUUGGCAAGAGAUGAGGCCUCAAAACCCACUUCUUCCAAUAACUGAAGUGUCCACAUUACUUUACACACAACUUGGGCCAUAGCUCGAUAUUCUGAUUCAGCACUCGAACGAAAAACUACAAUUUGUUUCUUACUUCUCAAAGAUACUAAGUUUCCUCCAACAA
rnacentral:misc_RNA from 1 species